CCUACGGGUGGCUGCAGUGAGGAAUAUUGGUCAAUGGGCGCGAGCCUGAACCAGCCAAGUCGCGUGAGGGAAGACGGUCCUAUGGAUUGUAAACCUCUUUUGUCGGGGAGCAAAAGACGCCACGCGUAGCGUUCCGAGAGUACCCGAAGAAAAAGCAUCGGCUAACUCCGUGCCAGCAGCCGCGGUAAUACGGGGGAUGCGAGCGUUUUCCGGAUUUAUUGGGGUAAAAGGGAGCGCAGGGGGAAGAUCAAGUCAGUGGUAAAAUCGAGGGGCUCAACCGCUUCGGGCAGUUGAAACUGGUAUUCUUGAGUGAGGGAGAGGUAUGCGGAAUGCGUGGUGUAGCGGUGAAAUGCGUAGAUAUCACGCAGAACUCCGAUUGCGAAGGCAGCAUACCGGCGAUUAACUGACGCUGAUGCACGAAAGUGUGGGGAUCGAACAGGAUUAGAUACCCGGGUAGUC
rnacentral:rRNA from 1 species